rnacentral:rRNA from 1 species
AUGAACGCUAGCGACAGGCUUAACACAUGCAAGUCGAGGGGCAGCAUAGGCAGUAGCAAUACCGCCUGAUGGCGACCGGCGCACUGGUGAGUAACACGUAUGCAACCUGCCACUUACAGGGGGAUAACCCAGAGAAAUUUGGCCUAAUACCCCAUAACACUCUUCGUGGCAUCGCGUAGAGUUGAAAGAAGCGAUUCGGUAAGUGAUGGGCAUGCGGCGCAUUAGAUGGUCGGUGAGGUAACGGCUCACCGAGUCAGCGAUGCGUAGGGGUUCUGAGAGGAAGGUCCCCCACACUGGUACUGAGACACGGACCAGACUCCUACGGGAGGCAGCAGUGAGGAAUAUUGGUCAAUGGACGGAAGUCUGAACCAGCCAAGUCGCGUGAGGGAAGACGGCCCUAUGGGUUGUAAACCUCUUUUGUCGGGGAGUAAAGUGAGCCACGCGUGGCUUAUUGCGAGUACCCGAAGAAAAGCAUCGGCUAACUCCGUGCC